rnacentral:rRNA from 1 species
UACGUAGGGUGCGAGCGUUAAUCGGAAUUACUGGGCGUAAAGCGUACGUAGGCGGCUUUGUAAGUUAGAGGUGAAAGCCCGGGGCUCAACCCCGGAAUUGCCUUUAAGACUGCAUCGCUUGAACGUCGGAGAGGUGAGUGGAAUUCCGAGUGUAGAGGUGAAAUUCGUAGAUAUUCGGAAGAACACCAGUGGCGAAGGCGGCUCACUGGACGGACUGUUGACGCUGAGGUACGAAAGCGUGGGGAGCAAACAGG